rnacentral:lncRNA from 1 species
CGGAUUGGUGGGCCGGAAUGAUUCCGAGCCGGAUUGCUUCUCUAAUUUAUAUAAACUUUGAUUAGCCGGAACGAUUCCGGGCACAAUCCGAUGUAAACGAACAAGGCCUUAGUUUACUAGGAUGCCAUGCAGGUACACCGAAUAUAUUUCAUUCCUUUAGGACUGAUUUGGUGAUCAAGGAUCACGGGGGAUUAGAGUGGAUUGAGGAGGAAAUUAGUUUAUUUCCCCCUCAAUCCCCUCCAAUCCUCCCGUGAUCCCUUGUCACCAAAUCAACCCUUACAGUAGAGGCAAGCUAUAUCCGUUAUGCCAACCUUGGCUUCACAUCAUUCUCCUCAGCGGUGCAAACUGCAAAGCCAUCAUCGUUAUGGUCUUUCUGAUUUUACCAUCCCAUCGCUAAGAUGAUGACACCAUUGACCUUGACCAUUGCCAUGGCCUCUCAGUUUGCCACCAGCCUUCAAUGUAGAGUAAGAAAACUGCAUGCCGUAGUACAGGGUCGGCUACAGAUGGAAAUUGAGUGCAUGCGUCCAGCUAUCACCUACACCCAAUACUUCGAACCCAAGAUAAUGAUCACCAUAUAUACCCUGUGAUUUGAAGAGAUAAAAGGUUCCUGGAUUGCGAUGGUAGACCCACAUGCCAUAAUUUGAGAAUAAUCUCAUUUCAUAUGUAUUUUCAUUGUAGUCUGCAUGUUUCUCCCUUUUUUGAGGAAAAAAUGAAGGUACAAAUCUGACCACAAAACUAAGGUCAGUCCUUUUUCCCACUAAUAUUUUAAUAACAGAAAAAUGUCAAACAAAAGAUGUUCUGGUGUACUUCUUAGUUAUGUACAGCUUGUUUUUAUUUAUUUAUUUUAACUAGUAAAUUCCAACUGUACGACACAGCCUCUGCACUACAAAGCAAGUGACAAUCUUU